UAGGGAAUCUUCCACAAUGGGCGCAAGCCUGAUGGAGCAACACCGCGUGAGUGAAGAAGGGUUUCGGCUCGUAAAGCUCUGUUGUAAGAGAAGAAUGACAUUGAGAGUAACUGUUCAAUGUGUGACGGUAUCUUACCAGAAAGGAACGGCUAAAUACGUGCUA
rnacentral:rRNA from 1 species